AGCAGUGGUCUCAACGCAGAGCCCCGGGGUGAUCUGUUGCUUAACUCACUUCAUAUUUGUAUAGGAUUUUGAAGUAUAAUGGCAAGUACUUUAGGAGGAAAAAACGUUUUAACAUUUAAGACCACAUUCUGGCCUCACUGACACUCUGUACUGGCUCAGCCCAUAGGCAUCAAUAGAGUUGCACAGGGCAUAAAUGAGGGCAGAAUUUAGCCUCAAGCAUUAGUAGAAAAGGGUUCAAAAUCUGCCUGAGUUGUUUGCAUUUCAGUUCAAACAGCUUGCUUGGAUUUAAACGUUCCUCUACAGUGUUUUCAACUCAAGUAGCACAGCUUUAUGCUAGUCCAGAACUGUAAAAUUAAGUUAAAUACUGAAAACAACAGUACAACUAUUCAAUUUUCAUUAUUUAAGAUGAGUGAAAUGCAAAAAAAAAAAAAAAAGGUGGGGGCGGCAACUAGCAUUAAUGGCAAAACAAUGCAUUUUUCAAGUUGAAUCAUUUAAUGAAUUAUUUGUCAAGCAGCUAGUUUAAUAUCUAUGUAGCCUGAUUCUCCACUGCCUUGUACACUGUGCGGUUAUUUAUCAAAUGGUGCCGAAUCACAAUGCAAGAUAUCAGGUCUGUGUAUUAUACCCGGACAGCGCCCAUUUACACGAGGUCUACGAAGUAAGGCUUAGCGCGCAGCUAGGAUUUUGACAGCCUGUCCGG